rnacentral:rRNA from 1 species
AUUGAACGCUGGCCGCAGGCCUAACACAUGCAAGUCGAGCGGAUGAAGGGAGCUUGCUCCUGGAUUCGGCGGCGGACGGGUGAGUAAUGCCUAGGAAUCUGCCUGGUAGUGGGGGAUAACGUCCGGAAACGGGCGCUAAUACCGCAUACGUCCUGAGGGAGAAAGUGGGGGAUCUUCGGACCUCACGCUAUCAGAUGAGCCUAGGUCGGAUUAGCUAGUUGGUGGGGUAAAGGCCUACCAAGGCGACGAUCCGUAACUGGUCUGAGAGGAUGAUCAGUCACACUGGAACUGAGACACGGUCCAGACUCCUACGGGAGGCAGCAGUGGGGAAUAUUGGACAAUGGGCGAAAGCCUGAUCCAGCCAUGCCGCGUGUGUGAAGAAGGUCUUCGGAUUGUAAGGCACUUUAAGUUGGGAGGAAGGGCAGUAAGUUAAUACCUUGCUGUUUUGACGUUACCAACAGAAUAAGCACCGGCUAACUUCGUG